ACGUCUGUGCUUAGCUGCCGUUUUUGUACUGCGUCCGUAAGGGGAGAAUCGGGCAGAAUGGCGAUGCUGAGAGUCAUGUGCUGGUUUCAGAAUGCAGGAUGCUUUAUGGCAUUUCAGCAUUAGUGAGCUGGGAGCCUUCACUAAGCAGCCCAGUCAUCCUGCAUUUUAUGUCUCUGCAGCUCCUUGCGCCGAUCACAAGCAGCACGUGGGUGAGCUUGCAUGCAGCAUCGCAUCAGUUACGCUUUCCUGGUAUGCUUGCCACCAUUUGUAAAAGGCAAAUCGGGGCAAGUAAAAAACAAUGUAUGCAUUAAGACGAGACAAAUCUCUAGGUGACAGAGUUUAAUGAACAAAUCACAGGAUAUAUGGUAUUGUAUCACUACUGGCCAAAGAGGAGGUUUACACACGUCUCCUUGUCCUGCACUGCAUCGUGUUACAACUUCUACAGUCACUAAAACUAUUCCAAUUGAUAAAGCAGCCUGCUCCUGCUGAGAUAGAGCAGCCGUCCCCUAUAAAAGGGGAGGGAUGCUGCACAGCCUCUGGCAGCCUUGUGCAGCAGCCUUUUUCCAAAUGAUGUCAUUCUCCAUGCUGCAAUAGGUCCCGCCUGGCCAGCGUAGCCAAAGCCAGGGGAUUAAAGUAAUGCAAACAUGGGGCUUUUGUAACUGGACUGCAAACAUCCACACCGGACUGGGCACAGGAUUUUCUGCAGUUUGCAGGCCCUCCAGGCUUUUGGGCAGUUUGCUUGCUCCAAAAAGGAGAAGUGGAGCCAGGUCUUCAUCCCGAUCGAAAGUUACAGCAGCAUUAUGUAAAAACAAGUUGGUGGAAAUGGGGAAGCUGAGUGAAAGUGAGAGGCAAACAGAGGGAAGAGGUUGGAGAGAGUUGCUUAGAAAUAAAUCCAGCUGAAAUGCCUCUGUGCCUUAGCAAACAUGCAGGGAAAGUAGAGGGGAAUAGAGGUAUGGCAGAGCCCUUGCAGAAAAACUGACCGUCUUGGCUGAGACCCCUCACCCCAAAAAGAGAUAACCAGAGGGACUCCCUGCUGUGGUCACUGGGAGGUUUGGCACAGAGCUCAACAGCAUGCACAAGGCUGUGUACUCUUUGCAAUCCCUGCUUGAACAGCCAGACAGUGGUGUGAUAGCCAGUGGCUCAGGGUUACCCAGAAAUUAAACAAAUUGUUCAGGGAAAAAAAUAACCUCCUGCACACAGGCAGGGGCAGUAUGUUGCUAAGGAAAUUGUACACCCACAGCUUCCUGCACACUGGAAGAGAUUCACAAAAAGAUACUGCCCACUACUGUUCUUGUGUAGUUCCCUAAAUUCUGGAGGUUUUGGGCUGCCAGAGAUAGUGCUAGAUGAAACUUCCGUUUGCCAUAGGACAACUAUGCCCAUGCUAGAUAAAUCUGUGACGAAUCUCUCUGCUAGCCAGUGCUGGAGUCUGGUAGGAUAUGUUGUCAUUGGUUUGGAAAAGAGUGAGAAAAGCCACUAGGAUAAGAACAUAAAUCCUUUGCAUUCAGAAAGCAAUGACCAUUUAAAAAGCAUGUAAAAUACAUGGGUCACUUUGUGCCUCUUUGAGAGUUUGUGUGGAUUUUUUUUUUUUUUACAGCUGCAGAAGUUCUAGCCCUAUUCCUGAUGGAAAGCUUUAUGCAAGCAACACUGUGACUUGGUUGCAUAUUUUUCCCCACAGGUUUUAACUACUUUCCAGUGGUAAGCAAGGUUUGAGACCUCUUGCAUAACCCCAACUGCACUGAAUUAAAGAGCCUGUACCUUUCCCCUGGUUGCAAGAAGGAUGGCACCUUGCUGCAGUCACUCACAGGCCUACAGCAAGCUCAAAACAGGACAAAGUCCAAAACUAACAUGCAGCACGUGCUGAGAGGAUUUAGUGUGAGGGAUUAUCCACUACAAAUUGCUGUAUGGGCCACAGAUGGUCAGUGAGAUAGCUCAGUCCCAAGAGUCAUUAUUCUGGAAAGCAAAAUGGUAGAGUGGAACAACAGCUGCUAGCAUGAGCAGUAAUAGGAGGGAAUACAAAGGGAGUAUCUGGACUCAUUAUCUUGACAUAAAAGUGCAAGUGGGUCUUAGAAUAUUUAAUGCCCUUUUCUUCUCUGAAGUCCCACACUCUAGAAUUAUAUGGCUGUGAGAAUCUCAAGUUUUGAUUUAAGACUUAUGUUUGGAGAAGUCUGAAACCCAAAAGGUAAACAACAGAUCCAAAAAGAAUCUGAAAUUCUCUAUUUUUCUGCUGCUGUGAUUUAGAAAGGAAGCAGCUAACAGAUUUUCUAAGUGUAGAUACACACAAGCAAGAAUUACUUCAAAAGCUCCAUAAGAGCCUUCACCUCAAGAAAAAACUUCUGAAGCAGUGACAACUCACAUCUGCUUAGACACUUUCAGCAUCUACAACGACUUUAGAGCCUCUCUAAAUUCACUUAUAAUUAAAGUUAUAUAUUUAAAAUACUGUAUUUUUCACUAAUAUUCUCAAACCCCUUGGAAAGUUGUUUUGUGCAAGCCAACAACGGCUUUAAAAAUCCAUGACUUGUAAGCACAGAUCUCAGAAAGUCGAUGUCUGUUGAUCCAGAGACUAGGCACACCUGCAGAAAAGGAUUUCCUUUACUACAUUUCAGAGUUUGGGACCAAUUAGCCAAGCUGACAAUAGUCUUGCUAGGCAGUUCUUAAAGCACCCUAGGAGAUGGAUCUCAAGUUAUGUGCCCAGAUAAAACAAAAGUAGGACAUGGAGGGACAUGUGCAUCUCCCAGGCUCCAGGUGUUUGCUGCAAAAGGUGCUGUUGGACAUUGCCUAGUAGCAUUUCAGCAGGAUUUUACAGCCAGGGAGACCCCCUUCCUCUGGAAGCUGGAGAGAGUUAAAUAAACAACACAGGGAUCUAAGGCAGAAGGUACUUGAUAAAGCAGUGAACUGUGAACAGGAAAAAUACAUGCUGUACUCUGUGUUACACUCUGUCAGUCCAAUACCAGGCCAGAACUGCACCUACCCACAUAAUUUUAUUUAAAUGCCUUCUCCUUGUGCAUAUCAACAGCACGUUAAUACACAUCAUUUCCUUCAGAAAGCUCCAGAAAUGAAGCAAGGCCACAGCACAAUGUAGGGUUUGUGUUGAUGUGCUGCAGAUCUCACCAGAUGAUGGUACUGAGGCUGAGGAGAGGACAUGGUGAUAGUUAAAAAUGCAUCUGUGUCCCACUGCACCUGCCUGUAACAAGCAAAGUCAGCUGGCUGAGCCUCCCCUGUUGUGCCCAUUGAUCUGGAUGCCCCAUUUUCUGUCUGCCUGGUGGAAGGGAAUGACUUGACUGCCUCCAGGAAAGUGUUGCUGAGUCCUGCCAGCUUCAGCUGAAUUCAGCCUGUGCCACAUGUGCUCAGAGCAUCUCAUAUUGCCAGACACUGAUAGACUGCCAGCAUCACCAGGUCCCCAAAUAUUUGUGUGCUCACAUCAGCACGGCUCUCAGCUUCGGUCAACAGUGCACAGACAGGGAGACAUUUACUGCCUUAACUCUAGCAUUUCAUAACUUCUGAGUGCUUAAUUCUGCACCUUUAAAAAACAAUAAACAAACAGUCCAUGUUUUAACAAUUAUUUGUACUAAACUCUUGGCCUUCAAACAACUCUGUUGUUUAGAAAGUUGAGGAUGUGGUAAUCUCCUCCCUACAGCUGUAGGUUAUGAUAACUUGAACUAUCCAGCUUUCAAGUGAAGGUCACAAGACAUUCAAUUUCCUCCUGUGGCGCAAGGGACUUAGCAUAAUGACUUGUGCCCCCUUCAGUUUUCCUCCUCCCUGGACUGGAAACCCACAUAUCCAUCACACCACACCUGACAGCUCCAGAGCAUGCCUCAGCUUCUCCCAGCCCCAGGAAGCAGCACUCAGAAACUAAGGGAGAUAGCAGAAAUAAAGAGAGAUAGCAAGACAGUUCCACCUCUCCACCUCUGCAGCCAAGGUGCAGAGCACAAUGCUGUCCUUCUGCACCAGCAUUCAUUCACCUUUCCAUGUGCACAAUUCUAAUCUGACAGCACUAUGAGAGCUUGCUGCUCUUCAGAGCAUCCAAAACGACCUGCUUUACUCCAUGCUGGAGUGAAAGAGGAGCACUCAGCAUAGCCAGUGAACAUGCUGGUACCAAAAAGGUAAUCACUUCCUAUAGUGCACAAACUCAACUGGAAAAGUACCUUCUUAUACAGUACUUCUGGAGACUUAAAUUUAAAAAGUUAACCUUCUUUUUACGUCAUUGCCAAUCAGCAAUGCCAAACAUUGGAGGUAUUUAUGAGAAAACUAUUGAUUACACACUAUGAUUUUAAAACUCUUGCAGGACUUUCUGGCUUGUAUAUCAGAAAAUGCAGUGGGACACUAGAAGCAACAACAAGAAGCUGAUUAAGUCAAGUAUGGACAACAGGAUGAUAGAAUUUUAAUUAUAGGGGAGAGGGGUACCACAGCUCUGAGCUUUCUCCUUGUGUGUGCUGGUAAACGCUGCAGGACAUCUGAUGUGCUAAUCCUUCACUGUAAUUAAGCAAAAUUAAUGUGAAAAUCAGGCAGUCCUCCAACCCUCAGAAAAUGCAGUUUUGCACCUUUUAAGCAGAGCUGCAGAGGAAGAUACCAGAUCAGGGAGCUCAGACUUUGAGAAUUGUCUGGAGAUGGAAAGAGCAAGAGAUGAAAAUAUGACAAGGGGUGGUGGUGCCUCAAAAUGGAAAACAACAGGGUUGGAGCCCUGGACAAGACUACAGUCAGCAGUCUGGGCUGUCAUGAGAACAAUGUAAUGAGUGCCUGGGGUCUCAGGGCAGUUCCUUCAGUGAGGACCAGGAAGGUGCCACUUCCCUGCAAUGCGAGGGGGAUGCAGCAGAGCUGGACAUGAAUGCCUUGAAGGAACAGAGCAAACAAGCAAGGCAGAAUCUGUGUCAGUGAUGCUCACUUACUGGGAUAAUUUUCUUAAAGGUGUUUAAAUCAGAAGCACAAGAAGCCUGAAAAGACUUUACUUUUACAAAAUAGCAGCCAUUGUGUUCUUCCUCUGCUCUUGAAAAAAAGUUCUAGAUAUUCUAAAGCAAAAGCAAUAAUUUCUUUAACUGCAGUUCAGAACAGGUAUGUUGCAUGGGUCAAAGUAUGUGUUUGAUUUUCUUUCACGUGUCAGAUCUGGCAUUGUUUGACCCCUUGCAGUGGUGAUUCAGCACACAUUGCCAGGAGAAAAUAAACCCUUUUUUUAGAAUUGUUCUUUUGGCAUUAUUUUAGGGGGAUUUGUUAUAAUUUUUGCUGGCUUGAGCUUGCUAAGCACACAGAUGAGCCCAAGAACUAGCAUGAGACAAUCGGUGGCAGUGUGUGUCUGGGACCAUCUCUUUUGGCAGAAGCAAGAUGUUAAAUGAGCUCAGUUGCCUCAUGACACCUCACUGAACACAAAACAGCAAGUGACAGGCUCUCCAAAAAGAUAUUUGUUUCACCAGGAAUUCAAACCAAGCUUCUUCCAGCAGCUGUUGGGAAAGACCAGAUUUGCAUAGCAACACAGGCAGUAUUUGUACAGGGCCUUUUUGUGAAGGAUGAGAUUAAACCUCUGGUACACAGGAGGGAUGAAAGCUUCAGAGAAAAGAUGCAUCAGAGAAAAGACUGCUUAUUAAUCUUAAGAAGCUAUUUUCUUCCUAACAACGGUCUUGGAUUUAUUUUUCAUAUAACAGGAAUUUUGGGAUAUUCGGCCUUCAUGUUUAUUUAAGGAAUUAUUUUGUAGUAUCCCCCACUUUUUUCCCCAAGGAAGCACUUUUAAGACUAAGUAAUGUGGCUGUGACUUUUUUUUUUCUUUUUGGUAUUUAAGUGUAUUAACGGCAAAGUCAUAAAAAUCAGUCCUGUAGCACAGCCAAGCCUGAAGAAAAGUCUGCUCAAUAGAGAUUACUGUUUCCACAGCAGUUUCCAGAGGAGGAAUGUAUGUUUCCACAUACAACAAGCGACCUUUUAUGUCAGUGAGUCUGAGAAGAGGUCUUGUCCAACCCAGCUAAAUUCAGUUUCUAAAAAACAUUUUCUUUUGCUGGAAGGCAGAAGGCUGGGGUUUCGCCAGGGAAGGUGGCCAGGCUGUGCAGGGCCACGUGGACAAGUGUGGUGCAUUCUCCCCGCUCCCCCAGUGCAAGGGGUCUGCAGGGAAAUGUGGCUUGGACCUGCUUCUGCUCCGAGUAAUGCAUCCCCGGCAGGAGGAUGGACAAUGGACUGGAGAGGAGGGGACCCAGACAAGAGGCAUCAUGCAUUAAAGACAAGACCACAUUAGGGCAUCAGUGAUCACACACAUUCCAGAUAAAAUCAGACUGAAGACACCGAAAGAAAAUGUUUUGCGUGCUUUAUUAGCAUUUGAGUAUCGUUGAUGAGACGCCUCUUAUAAACCCACCUAACUUUUUAUCCCCCCACCUUUCAUUUGAAAAUGACCAGCAGCUUCAACCUGGAAGGUAAAAAUCAGCACGGAGCUUAUUAACAAAAGCUGCCAUCCCCCAAGUGGGUAAACAGAAGUGUUUGCCACAGUCGUCCCCAAUUAUUGUUGUUUUUUUUUGUGAAUUGGCUUGUCUGAUGCAAGUGUAUUAGCAUUUAGUCAAGACAUGUAUAUCCUCAGCAGCAUCAGCAGGGCUACAGUGACAUGGCCGUGGCCAAAAGGGAAAGGAUGAACCAGAAGGCAGAAGUAAUUAAGCUGUUCAGCAGUUUAUGUGCUACAUUCUGUUUCUGAGGCCAGCCAUGGCACGGGUCACCUGCUUUAGGGUUGAUAAAUUAAAGUUCAGCCUAACUGCCCCCAGUGACAAGUUGUUUUCUUGAUCAAGUUUAAACACCAACAUUUCUCCUGACCCUGCCCCUGUCACUCAUUUGCUUAAAAUAUUUCAUACUUUGAUCCCUAAAAAGCAUGUUUUCUUUCUUUUAAAGGAAACUUCAGAAAGUAGCAUGUUUAUUUGGAUUUUUGGUGGUGUUUUCUCCCUUCUCUUCUAACACAGAGUAAAAAGACUUUCAAGCAUAGCUGCUUCCCCCAAAAGCAUAUGUCAUGACAUAUUUGGCAUCUAUCAAAUAAAAAAAAAACUAUGAUUUGGUGUACAAAAGCCCUGAGUUUGCACUACUGUCCCCUCAGCCACCCUGUCCUCAUUCAUCUCCAGUAAAUAAGCAGUUAAAAGCUGAAGAAAAAACUAGAAGGGGCAGAACCACUCUCAUUUAUCCAUGGUGGUCAAACAACUUGUAAGAGAAGGAGGAGGAGGAGGAUGCAUUUGCCUGUGACAGCAUGAGGCCAGUCUGGGUAAGCACAAUGUCACCCAGUGUUUGGGUACAAUUCACAAAUGUUGUAUGUUAACCACUGUUAAAUAUUCACAAACCCUCCUGUGAGGGUCCCUUGAAAUCACUCUCAGUUUGCUAAUUGUUAGCCCCUAAUGGUAGUUUCUCAUUAAUAAAGGAACAGGACAAGAUCCGGAAACAAGGCAAGACGGAGAUCCAGAAAAAGGCAAAAACACGUGAAAAAUACCGAGAAUCAGGCACAUAAGUCAAUAUAUCUGGAUUACUCUUUGCCACCCUUUGUUUUAGAGCUCAAUACUUAGCUUAGAAUACCCAUCAUAUUUGGUAAUUUGUUUUGGUAAUAACAAUGGAUUCACUUGGAUUUAUUAGACAUUGCAUACUUUAUUUAAGACCAAUCUCUGGAUUUGUACCAAUGCCUGCUGACAGUGCUCUCACACUGUGUCUUUCCAAGCAAGAAAUGAGGUCAUCAUGAUUCAUGUAAUAAACUGAUACACAUUUUGCGGCAAUUUGGAAGAGUUUUUAAAAUUCUAAAUGAGGUCAUUUUGGCUUGGGCUUUUUGAGGGUCUUUUUCUCUUUUUGGAAAUUUGGAAUUUUUCCACUUUGCAAUUAGGAUUUCCCAAGUGGAGACCAAACUUUAUAAAAUCCAGGAAGAAACUCAAUUCUGUUUCUUUGUUGUUUAUUAUUAUCAUUAUUAUUAUUAAUAUUUUUUUUUUUCCUUACUGAAGUUGAGAAGCAUACAUGGUUUGUUUCUGAACAAAGUGCUGCCCUUUUCUGGCAAGAAGGGAGUCUUCUUUAAUUAAGUGACAUUCCAGAAAGUUUGCAAUUAGAAAGGAUCAAGGUACAAAGAGAACAGCCUGAGGAAAUGCUUUUUCAAAGAGGGCAUGGCUUGUUGAUAAUUUUGACAAGGCAAGAGGAAUAGCUACAAUAACUACAUUUAUUUUAUUCUAGGCUUGGGCUCUUAAAAGGUAGAAAAUGCCUUACAUUUACAAGAAGACAGCAGGAACAAGACAGAUCCUUAGGCAUAACAUUAGAUAUUGCACCUGGACUUCUGGAAUCACUGACUACAGAGGGCAGAGAAGUUCAGCCAGAAGACAACAGAAGAAGGUAUUGGCAGUCAGCACCACACCAAGGAGGACAUGGUUCCUGGUAUAGUUUGUAGUCAAAACCACCAACCACCUUGCAAAGCAAUCUCACAGAAAACAAAAUACUGAGGCACCUGACAAGGGUGAACAAGCUCAAGGGAUACAAAUCCCUAACACUACAGAAAUCACAUGCUUCUUAUGAAUCUCUAAGCUGACCUCUUCCUGGGCAUGACCUGCUGACCUCCAUGACCACAUCCAUGUUCCUGGGCUAAAGCAGCCUUGAAUCCAAACCAGUGCAGCAAAUCACCAUUACCUGCUCACAAGGCUUUGGCAUGGCCAUGGACUGGACAGACCUCAGGCUUGGUACCAUCCAGCCAGCUCCUCUUGAGUCCUCACCACAUCACACUCCACAGCUUACCCCAGGGAUUCACCAAAAGGCACCAGGGCACUGCAGGUUUCCUAUGCCAUUAUUCCCAGCACUACAGGGUUUGUUUACUGUGAGCAGCCUCACAGGGAUCAGUUAGGCUGGAGAGAGCAAAACUGAAAGGGUUCAGAUACUACCAAAGCUGCUCUCCCUGCACAAAGGUAGACUUCACAGAAGUUCAGUGUCUGAAGAGAUGCUCAGUUCAGAAAUGAAGCAAAAGAUUUUCUGCUUAGGAAAAAAACCUGGGAACGGUGACAAAAAAAAAAAAAAAAACCCAAAUUAAUGCCUUAGCAGCAGUAUCAAGCAAGUAAAAUUUGUUUCCAGUCUGGUCACCUUGUUCUAGACCUGCACUUGUGUUUCUCUCCCUUAAAAAAAUGUUUGCUUUGUUGUUUAGUUGUUUGGAAGCAGUCAGCCAUUAUACAGAAUUAAAUGCUUUCUAUUAUGCAAAGGCUGAUGCUGUCUGAGCUGUAACUGCAUGGCUGUGAACAACAUAUUAAUUUAAAGUCUGUAUGAUUACACUUUACCAUUAAAGGUCACUCAGCAUUU